CAAAAAGAGGUUCUUGCUGAGGGGAAAGUAAUUCAGCUAAUACUGGAUCACCUUUGGUGAAGGGACGCGUCUGGACAUUAAAAGGGCUGAUGCUAAGCCAUCUGCCUUCAUCUUCCCACCCUCUUCUGAGGAGUUAAACCUUGGAAAUGCCUCUGUCGUGUGCUUGGUGUAUGGCUUCUACCCCAGUGAAGUCACUAUCAACUGGAAAGUGGAUAGUCUUCCCAUAACCAGUAGCAUCCAGAGCAGUCGGAUGGAGCAGGACAGCAAGGACAACACCUACAGCCUCAGCAGCACCCUGACGCUGUCCAAAGAAGCCUACAAAGCUCAUAAUGUCUAUGCCUGCGAGGUCUCCCACAAGACCCUGAGCUCCCCCCUGGUCAAGAGCUUCAAUAGGGAAGAUUGUUAGAGAGGCCGGCCCACCAGGCCCAUCACCUGAGCCUCAGUCCCAGCCUCCCUUCUCCUCCCUCAGGCCUUGGCCCGUUUCCGAGAGACCUACCCUCACUGCAGUCCUCCAGCCCCUCUCCCCACUUCACUCCCCUCCCCCUCUUUGGCUUUAAUCAUGCUAAUAUUUGGGGGAAAAUGAAAAACUAAAGUGAAUCUUUGCACCUGUGA